UGUGUCAUGUGUACUAUUGUUUGUCUGUUUGUCUUUUUUUCAUAUUUAGCCAUGGCUUUGUCAGUUUAUUUUCGAUUGAUGCGUUUGACUGUCCCUCUGGUAUCUUUAGUCCCUCUUGUGUAUAAAUAUACAUAAUAGGUUAAUUUGAGCACAGUAUGUGAUGUGUACAAAUUAUAUCGGUCAGUAUAUAUUCAUUUUUUUGUUUUCCUGUCUUUU
rnacentral:lncRNA from 1 species